rnacentral:rRNA from 1 species
AGACUACGUCUCGUACCUUUUGCAUCAUGAUUUAGCAAGUAUAACCAAGCAGAAAGCAUUUUAGUUUGGCCCCCCGAAACCAAGUGAGCUACUCCAAGACAACCUACAAAUUAGGGUAAACCCGUCUCUGUGGCAAAAGAGUGGGAAGAGCUUUGAGUAGAGGUGACAGACCUAUCGAACUUGGUAAUAGCUGGUUGCUUGAGAAACGAAUAGAAGUUCUGCCUCUUAUUUUCUCACCCCCCUCUGGUCACCAGAGCCACCCCACAGGCGAAAGAAAAUAAGAAAGUUAAUCAAAGGGGGUACAGCCCCUUUGAGACAAGAUACAACUUUCCCAGGAGGGUAAAGAUCAUAAUUUAUAAGGUAACUAUGUUUUGGUGGGCCUAAAAGCAGCCAUCCCCUCAGAAAGCGUUAAAGCUCUAGCAUACUCCCCCCCCCCCCCAAUCCCGAUAACAAAUCUUAACCCCCUAAACAUAUCAAGCCCUCCCAUAAAAACAUGGGAGUGAUUAUGCUAAAAUGAGUAACCAGAGAAUACCACCUCUCUCCCUUGCACAUGUGUAAAUCGGAACGGACCCCCCACCGAAACUUAACGAACCCAAACAAUAGAGGGUACUGAAUGAUAAAUCACAAACAAGAAAAUCAUCCAAAAUAUUACCGUUAACCCCACACUGGUGUACUUUAAAGGAAAGACUAAAAGGAAAAGAAGGAACUCGGCAAAUACACCUAAGCCUCGCCUGUUUACCAAAAACAUCGCCUCUUGUUAAUUACACAUAAGAGGUCCCGCCUGCCCUGUGACCCCUGGUUCAACGGCCGCGGUAUUUUGACCGUGCAAAGGUAGCGCAAUCACUUGUCCCUCAAAUGAGGACCCGUAUGAAUGGCACAACGAGGGCUUAACUGUCUCCUUUCCCCAGUCAAUGAAAUUGAUCUUCCCGUGCAGAAGCGGGGAUACUAACAUAAGACGAGAAGACCCUAUGGAGCUUUAGACUUUAGAACAGACCAUAUCAGCUACUCCCUUAAACAAGUAGUAACCAUUGUUCUCCUGUUCCCCUGUCUUUGGUUGGGGCGACCACGGGGAAAAGAAAAACCCCCACGUGGACUGGGAGCACCUUACUCCUACAACUAUGAGCCACAGCUCUAAUGCGCAGAACUUCUGACCAUAAGAUCCGGCAAAGCCGAUCAACGGACCGAGUUACCCUAGGGAUAACAGCGCAAUCCCCUUUAAGAGUCCAUAUCGACAAGGGGGUUUACGACCUCGAUGUUGGAUCAAGACAUCCUAAUGGUGCAGCCGCUAUUAAGGGUUCGUUUGUUCAACGAUUAAAGUCUU